rnacentral:rRNA from 1 species
UACGUAGGGUGCAAGCGUUGUCCGGAAUUAUUGGGCGUAAAGAGCUCGUAGGCGGUGUGUCACGUCGGCCGUGAAAACCUGCAGCUUAACUGUGGGCGUGCGGUCGAUACGGGCAUCACUGGAGUUCGGCAGGGGAGACUGGAAUUCCUGGUGUAGCGGUGAAAUGCGUAGAUAUCUGGAGGAACACCGGUGGCGAAGGCGGCAUCCUGGACCGAGAUUGACGCUGAGGAGCGAAAGCUAGGGGAGCAAACGGG